GCUGUUGCCAUGGUGAUGGACAAGCAUGCGCUGCCUCCGCUAGAGUCGGGUCUCCAGGAGUUGGAAGUGCGGAAUGAUUUGCGGAACUUGAGCGAUCUCUCGUCGCUCCGCGACCCCUUCAACUCUGGCCGUAGUUGUAUCGCUUGCGGUGCCACUGUUUCAGGGCUUCUGCUUUCCUGGGGUUAUUAUUAUUGCAGGCGUUGUUCAAUGACUCCGCCAUUGGAUUGGAAGGAAAGAACGUCGGGUUAUUACAAGGUGUUGAAUGUAGUUGCCUGCCGGGAGCCAGGGUGAGGAACUCCGCCCGUGGCAAAGGUCAUGAGAAAGGAGGCUCGACAUACGCAAAGGCUGAAAUCCUUCAGUAGCCAGGCUGGACUACUGCGACAUUUUGAGAUUUCCAUCAUGUGGACCUUGUUAGGAGUGACGGACGACGGGCACUUUCAGCUGCAGCCAGAUGUCCCCAGGGCGCCGUUCUCAGCUCAGCGUGACUGUCCUCACUGAAUCACAAGUUAAAGAGGAGCCUCUGACUUAGAGAAAGUGAGGUGAAGCUCCCGAGAGGAAAGUGAGGUACCAGGCAGAGAAUCUAGCAGGAGCAGCUGGAAGGGGAGGGGUUUACUACGGGCAGUGCCACCGCUGAAAGCAUGUCACAAAGUCCCUGAGUUCCCCGUGAGUCACUGGGUAAAUGCCCGCGCAGGCGCUCCGUUCCGGUGAGACACUGGCAGGGCCUGGGCACCAGGGAGAUUUGAAAGAUGAGACCUCCUGCGCUAAUGUUGCCACACAGCUGUGCCGAAGGAAAUUUUAAAAAGGUUAACAAUCACGUCAGGUCGUCACUGACUUUCCUUACAGAGCUUUCCCAUGGGAGAAACUUAACUUAAUCAUUGAUAGGAAUUAUCAAGCAUCAGCAUACUUUUCAUGACCAUUUAACCCACGCAGUGUACUCCCCCAGACACAGUGGAACGCAGGGAUACGAUGCAGGACAUGCCCCCUGACUUCAGGCAGGGUGUCGGGGAGACCUUUUUCUUUUUAUAAUGAGGUAAACCCCAUCCCAUCCCCAGGUGACCACAGAGCUGUUUUCUGUCACUGUAAGUCUGCAUCUUCUAAAGGUUCAUAUAAAAAGAAUCACAUGGUGUGUACUUUGUCUUCUCUGGCUUCUUUCACUCCGAAUAAUUAUUUUGACAUUUAUCCAUAUUACUGCAUGUCAAUAACAGUUAUGCCCUUUUUUUUUUACUGCUGAAUAAAGUUCCAUCGUGUAAACAUAUCAAAAUCUGUUUAUUCAUUGACCUGUUAAUGGACAUUUGGAUUGUUUCCAGUUUUUAACUAUCACAAAUAAAGCUGCUUUGAACAUGCA